AUCCUUUUGGUUCAACCAACAUGAUGAUUGGUCUUUCACGAACGCUUCGUGAAAUGUGCAGCCUAUUGUUACGACGUGGCACAUCGACCGUCUGAAU